AUCAGUUAAAGACUUGCAAUUGGAUAGAAACUAUCAGAUGGAGUAGCAAGGAUAAAAACAAUGCGCAUGUUUGUAGUUAUGCUGUAUCUUUACAUGCUGUUAAAUUACAGUCUGAAGUCUAACAUUAGAGCAGAGCAAGG